rnacentral:tRNA from 1 species
GGGAAGGUAGCUCACCAGUAGAGUGCAUGCCUUGCAAGCAUGAGGCCCUGGGUUUGAUUCCUCAGCACCA